rnacentral:rRNA from 1 species
UGGAGCAUGUGGUUUAAUUCGAAGCAACGCGAAGAACCUUACCAAAUCUUGACAUCCUCUGACCCCUCUAGAGAUAGAGUUUUCCCCUUCGGGGGACAGAGUGACAGGUGGUGCAUGGUUGUCGUCAGCUCGUGUCGUGAGAUGUUGGGUUAAGUCCCGCAACGAGCGCAACCCUUAAGCUUAGUUGCCAUCAUUAAGUUGGGCACUCUAAGUUGACUGCCGGUGACAAACCGGAGGAAGGUGGGGAUGACGUCAAAUCAUCAUGCCCCUUAUGAUUUGGGCUACACACGUGCUACAAUGGACAAUACAAAGGGUAGCGAAACCGCGA